AACGAACGCUGGCGGCAGGCUUAACACAUGCAAGUCGAGCGCCCCGCAAGGGGAGCGGCAGACGGGUGAGUAACGCGUGGGAAUCUACCCAUCUCUACGGAAUAACGCAUGGAAACGUGUGCUAAUACCGUAUACGUCCUUUGGGAGAAAGAUUUAUCGGAGAUGGAUGAGCCCGCGUUGGAUUAGCUAGUUGGGGGGGUAAAGGCCUACCAAGGCGACGAUCCAUAGCUGGUCUGAGAGGAUGAUCAGCCACACUGGGACUGAGACACGGCCCAGACUCCUACGGGAGGCAGCAGUGGGGAAUAUUGGACAAUGGGCGCAAGCCUGAUCCAGCCAUGCCGCGUGAGUGAUGAAGGCCCUAGGGCUGUAAAGCUCUUUCACCGGUGAAGAUAAUGACGGUAACCGGAGAAGAAGCCCCGGCUAACUUCGUGCCAGCCGCCGCGGUAACAC
rnacentral:rRNA from 1 species